GACGAACGCUGGCGGCGUGCCUAAUACAUGCAAGUUGAGCGAUGAAGAUUGGUGCUUGCACCAAUUUGAAGAGCAGCGAACGGGUGAGUAACGCGUGGGGAAUCUGCCUUUGAGCGGGGGACAACAUUUGGAAACGAAUGCUAAUACCGCAUAACAACUUUAAACAUAAGUUUUAAGUUUGAAAGAUGCGAUUGCAUCACUCAAAGAUGAUCCCGCGUUGUAUUAGCUAGUUGGUGAGGUAAAGGCUCACCAAGGCGAUGAUACAUAGCCGACCUGAGAGGGUGAUCGGCCACAUUGGGACUGAGACACGGCCCAAACUCCUACGGGAGGCAGCAGUAGGGAAUCUUCGGCAAUGGACGAAAGUCUGACCGAGCAACGCCGCGUGAGUGAAGAAGGUUUUCGGAUCGUAAAACUCUGUUGGUAGAGAAGAACGCUGGUGAGAGUGGAAAGCUCAUCAAGUGACGGUAACUACCCAGAAAGGGACGGCUAACUACGUG
rnacentral:rRNA from 1 species